AAGACAUUGUGCUGCCUUAUUCACCCACACAAGCACCUUGACACAGUCACACAUAUAUGCACUAGGUUGGCAAAAACACAUGGGCGGCAGGGUAAUACUAUUAAUGCAAUAAAUGCAAAAUCCUUGUAUAUCAUGCCAAUGAGCAGCAACUGCAUAAACGUGAUAUAUCAUGCCAAUGAAGCAAUAAAUACAUAAACUUGGUAUAUCAUGCCAAUGAGCAGUAAAUGCAUAAAUCCUUUAUAUCCUGC